GACGAACGCUGGCGGCGUGCUUAACACAUGCAAGUCGAACGGUGAAGCGAGUGCUUGCUCUCGUGGAUCAGUGGCGAACGGGUGAGUAACACGUGAGUAACCUGCCCAUCACUCUGGGAUAAGCACUGGAAACGGUGUCUAAUACUGGAUACGACCAACCCUUGCAUGGGGUGUUGGUGGAAAGAUUUAUCGGUGAUGGAUGGACUCGCGGCCUAUCAGCUUGUUGGCGGGGUAAUGGCCCACCAAGGCGACGACGGGUAGCCGGCCUGAGAGGGUGACCGGCCACACUGGGACUGAGACACGGCCCAGACUCCUACGGGAGGCAGCAGUGGGGAAUAUUGCACAAUGGGCGAGAGCCUGAUGCAGCGACGCCGCGUGAGGGAUGACGGCCUUCGGGUUGUAAACCUCUUUCAGCAGGGAAGAAGCGAAAGUGACGGUACCUGCAGAAGAAGCACCGGCUAACUACGUG
rnacentral:rRNA from 1 species